UUUUUAAUUGAAAUCUUGUAUGAAGGGCUGGACAAAAGAAAUACUGUCUUUGUGCUAUAAAUUGAAUUUAACUUUUAAGUGAAAAGGCUUAAAUAUUCUAGAAAGACGAUAAGACCCUAUAAAGCUUUACAUUUAGGUUAAUUUCUUAUUUAAUUUUAAAAAUAAAGAUUGGCUUUAAUUAUUUUGUUUUGUUGGGGAGACAACGGUAAAAUUUUUAUUAACUACCAGAUUAUCAAACAAUAAUAUCUGUGUGCAGGAAAUAUAUUAAUAGAUCCUUUUUAGAGAUUAAAAGAUUAAGUUACUUUAGGGAUAACAGCGUUAUUUCCUUUGAGAGUUCCUAUCGAAAGGGGAGAUUGCGACCUCGAUGUUGAAUUAAAAUAUCUUUAUAAUGUAGCCGUUAUAAAAGAAAGUCUGUUCGACUUUUAAAUUUUUA
rnacentral:rRNA from 1 species